GUUGGAACAAAAUGUGUUUCAUAAUGAACCUUAAUGAGUUUUGAUGAUAACAAGGUAUUAAAAAUUGUCAAUUGGUUAUUGCUAAUGAUUGUUCAAGUGUACAGGACCAAAGGCUAGUCAAGUAAUUUCAAUAGGUCUUGGAAGAACAAUGGAGAGCAAAGGAAUUCGAAGCAUCUGAAGAAAACUGCGUCUGAAGCUAAAGUGCUUCUGAAGCUGAAGUGCCUCUGAAGUGAUGACGUCAUCAGAAGCAGAAGCUC
rnacentral:lncRNA from 1 species